CCUACGGGAGGCAGCAGUCGAGAAUCAUUCACAAUGGGGGAAACCCUGAUGGUGCGACGCCGCGUGGGGGAAUGAAGGUCUUCGGAUUGUAAACCCCUGUCAUGUGGGAGCAAAUUAAAAUGAUAGUACCACAAGAGGAAGAGACGGCUAACUCUGUGCCAGCAGCCGCGGUAAUACAGAGGUCUCAAGCGUUGUUCGGAAUCACUGGGCGUAAAGCGUGCGUAGGCUGUUUCGUAAGUCGUGUGUGAAAGGUGCGGGCUCAACCCGCGGACGGCACAUGAUACUGCGAGACUAGAGUAAUGGAGGGGGAACCGGAAUUCUCGGUGUAGCAGUGAAAUGCGUAGAUAUCGAGAGGAACACUCGUGGCGAAGGCGGGUUCCUGGACAUUAACUGACGCUGAGGCACGAAGGCCAGGGGAGCGAAAGGGAUUAGAUACCCUGGUAGUC
rnacentral:rRNA from 1 species